GAAAAGUUUGCCUGUGCCCAGCAGCACUGCAGGUGUCUGUCCCUCUGAAAGAGUCCCAGUGGUGUGGGCGUGCUGGAAAGAAAAAUCCCCAGUGACUUCACCCAGCUUGGCUUGUGGUGGUUACUCACAAUGAGGUCAUUUUUUUCUUUUUUUUUUUUUUUAGCUAUGCAUGUUUAAUGCUACAUCUGAGUUUUUGCAUAUGAGUGAAACUGCAGCCCUGGGACUGAUUCAGGGAGUUUUCUCUGCAGAGUAAUUUUGCCUUUCCACUGCUAUUACAGCUCUGAUAUUCUAUAGCAAGUAAGAACAUAACAUUACUACUGUUCAUACGUGGGAGAUGGAGGAACUGCAUUAAGAGCCCAUCAGAUAGGAAGACUUGGUGUGAGAACCAUAUGGAUGCGAAGAAAUACCCUAGACCCAAGAUGCAAGUUUAUGUAUUGCAAGACAGGAGGCCAAACACUGAAACAGCAUCUGACAAAAAGAUUGAAGCUGAUCUUCUGAUAAGGAUGGAAGAGAAUGAAGGGUGCAAGUUGAGCUUGUCACAGAAGCUGUAUCACAAACCCCAUAACAGGACCACUAGGGGAGUGAAAAACUGACC